CCUGAAACUAGAGUCACAUCUUGACAGCUAUUGUCCUUGUGUGCUAGAGUUCUCGGAGAGGACUUACUGGUCUGAUUCACUAAUGAGGGCAGCAAGUGCUCCCGGUAGUGCCCAGAUCACAAACAUAG